UUCAUGAUUAGUGGCGCACGGGUGAGUAAUGUAUAGGUAACCUGCCUCUUAGACCGGGAUAGCCACUGGAAACGGUGAUUAAUACUGGAUACUCCUUCUUCGUAACUCGAAGUUGGGAAAUGUUUUUCGCUAAGAGAUGGGCCUAUAUUGUAUCAGCUUGUUGGUGAGGUAAUGGCUCACCAAGGCUAUGACACAUAGCUGAUUUGAGAGGAUGAUCAGCCACACUGGUACUGAGACACGGACCAGACUCC
rnacentral:rRNA from 1 species